GCCUCGCGCCGUUCGGUUGUGUUCUCUGUGGAGUGCCGGUCUGAGUCGCGCGUCUGCCGCGGUGUAGCUCUGCGACGUGUGCCGACACAGCGGUCGCGCCUCCACUGGAUAAGCUCUCACCACGAUCCCGGGCGCCACAGCGCCGUAGUCUUGUAUUCUGCAUUUUGUGAAAGUGCAGUGAAAGCAGCAUCGUGAAUCUCUGAAAAUCCAAGACAAUUAAAAACUGUCCGGAGGGCAACGCCAUAGGGCAACAACACCUUUCAUUUUCAGUUCGUUACGUUUCUUCUGCUCACAGGUAAAGCACCAUCGUUUCUCACAAAGUCUACUUGCACGUAAGUAUUCCUGACAGCAUUCACAUUUCUAGAGAAGGGUGGGAAUGAGGUGGUUAAAAUUUAAUGGUUC